GACGAACGCUGGCGGCGUGCCUAAUACAUGCAAGUAGAACGCUGAAGGAGGAGCUUGCUUCUCUGGAUGAGUUGCGAACGGGUGAGUAACGCGUAGGUAACCUGCCUGGUAGCGGGGGAUAACUAUUGGAAACGAUAGCUAAUACCGCAUAAGAGUAGAUGUUGCAUGACAUUUGCUUAAAUGGUGCAAUUGCAUCACUACCAGAUGGACCUGCGUUGUAUUAGCUAGUUGGUGAGGUAACGGCUCACCAAGGCGACGAUACAUAGCCGACCUGAGAGGGUGAUCGGCCACACUGGGACUGAGACACGGCCCAGACUCCUACGGGAGGCAGCAGUAGGGAAUCUUCGGCAAUGGACGGAAGUCUGACCGAGCAACGCCGCGUGAGUGAAGAAGGGUUUCGGAUCGUAAAGCUCUGUUGUAAGAGAAGAACGAGUGUGAGAGUGGAAAGUUCACACUGUGACGGUAUCUUACCAGAAAGGGACGGCUAACUACGUG
rnacentral:rRNA from 1 species